CAGAUCAGUGAAAAGCAGGCCUUCAUGCUUAAUAAAAUUGGUGAAACUAGUCCGGGACAAGUCUAGUAGUCUCUAGUUUCCUAGAUCUUUUGCUUUCCAAAAAUUGGUCCUACUCCGCUUGCAGAGCUCGGUGAAUAUGAAUAGCGACAGCAAUCGAGUAUAUACUCGGUUAAUUACCAGUGCGCGCUAACACAGAUUUCUGUUAAAGUUUCUAUGAGUUUCUUAAAGUCCAAUUUGACCAAACUACCCGAAACCUGUCUGUACGUGUUACUCGUGAUGAACGUUCCGCUUCUUACACAUACAACCAAAGAGUUCCAACCUGUUUAUUUGUUAGUUUCCCGCCAAAUUCUUUCAAUGUAUUGGAGUUUCGGUAGCCGUGACUUGCUGCCUGGUAGAUUUGUUUGUAUGAAUUCGUGGUGUAAUAAUGAUAAUGUGGUGUAAUUCGCAUACGCAAGGCAGUGAACACAGCCAGACUUCACGUAAACAAUGAACAGCUGUUGUGUUUGGCAGCAUUAAUGAAGCGCUUAAAAUGACAACAAAAUUUUUAACAAAUACAGAAAACAGUAUUUUUAAAGCGGCUAUUAAAAAAUAAUCCAGUAUAUUUGAACUGGAACUGGAAAAGCUGAAAUAAGAAUUGUCCUUGCAAAUAUGCGUGAAGACUAGUUAACACAAUGGAGCAACUCAGGUUUGUGAUUUAAAAUAUUAAGCAUUUUUCGACGGUUUUAAACAUAUCCUGUCGGCUGCUGUUUCACAAAUAAGUAGAAGUCAAAAGUUAAAUCUUGGUAAGCCAGAUGUUUGGAAAUCAGAGCUUAAAAAAAUGCAGUUGGAUAUGAAACCAGUAGCGUAUUAGUAGCAGAAGUCCAAUAUAUUUUAUUCAUAAAUAAUUUCAAGUUACAAGCUUUUUUUAUAUUGCGUCGCAAUCAACGGUAUUACUGAUUAUCAUAUUUCGAAUUGGCAUUAAGGAGUUAUUAUCACUUUGUUGUUAAAAUUUUACAUUUGUAGUUGAAUCCCAUUACCAGACAAGGUCACAUAUCCAUACCUCCUUCACACAUAAAACCCAUUUCGAAAUACAAAGGCUCCUGCUUAAAUGCUUUCGGAAAAAGUCAGCAACUCAUCAAGCGCACAGUAAAAAUGGCCAGUGAUUAUGACAUGACAUAAAACUACAACGCGCUCUAUAGGGCUCUUUGGCUGAAUUUAAAUGUCCUGCCACCACACAACAACUACUAAUAAGUAUUUUCAGACAACUGUUUUGGUGGCAAACCCUCUGAUUCCUCAAUAACGAUCUGGUAACACCAAUAUCGAACACAACAACCAGCGUUUGCACGUGUAUAAAAGAAAAGGAGAAUAUAAAACUGAAGUAGAAAGCGAAUAAUUACUGUGUGACAUACAAAAGCAUUCGUUCCAACAACAAAAUAUUGUGUAUAUUGUGCAAUAAAUUAUGCAAUUAAUGCAAACAUUAAAAGUAAAAUAUUGUAUAAAAAAUUGUUUUUAUUGAACAUAUGAGGCAUCGAGUGAGUGGCUAAUGACACAGGGUACUAACAUCAUUUCCUGAAACAUAUUUAAGCAAACGAAGGCAUUUUGAGUGUAAUUUCCAUGAAAAUUCGCGAUUUGCAUCACAUUUUUAAUUUUAUAAACUCCCGGGUAAUUCCAACAGGGAGUUCACUUAGUCAGGAUUGUAGCCCAAGCGUUUCUGCAAAAUCCAAAAUUGAGAUCACCAAAAUCCAACCGCUGGUUCAAAAGUUAUAAGCAUUUGUGUUUCGCUGCUAUCCGGCGCUGCCGACGUCGGCUGCGGAAAAAUGCAUUUCAAUUUGGUGCGAAAAACUGGGAUUUCUACCAGGCGACCAGAAGCAGGCAGUAGGUGGCUGCGAAAUAGAAAAAUGCGAAUUGUGGCCAAACGGAGACACUUAGAGCCAUGCGGUUUUUACUGGUCUCUUCAGAAUCGCAUGGCCCAAAAGUGUAUAAAAAAAUGGUUGAUGUUGUUGCACUGUAAACAUUUAUAAAAAUUAAAAUAUGUUGCAAUCGCCAACAAAUAUGAGAAAACAGCAUAAAACACCAGCAAAUGCUAACAUUAGUUGGACAUUAUGGGCAUAAAAAGUUGCAGGGAGGCCUGCAGAUUAUUCGGAGUACCAUUAAUGUUAAGUAGCUCCAUUUUUUGUAAAA